GAAAGCCGCAUUGCCGUGAGUUUAUAGCUAUUUGAAUAAUUAUUAUUUAAAGGCACUGGGAUGAUAUAUUAUUUAAAAUAUUUAGCUAAAAUAUUUGUGGGGAUAUUAGUUCACAUCUAGACGUUAUUGUGCAAGUAUGGAAAUUAACCGGGAUUCGAAUUGACCAGCUACCUAACAUGGCUUAUGUCAACAAACGGAAUCAUUUGAAGCUGGGAGUUUUCAGGUCGUAUGGGCUUUAAUGGAUAUUUGAAGGUAGAUGGAUGUAAUGCUGGAUAUAAAGAGACAAUGUAUGAGUCCCAAAGUGACAGCGGUUUUAUUUAUUUAUUUUUUAAAAUUUUGUUGAUGAUUUAGCCCUGGAAUUCUUUACUACAUGAGGCAAAAUUUCAAAUUGCUAAUACCCUAAGUCAUACCAGUAUUCUAUAGCUUUCUUCUAUGGGAAGUUUGGUGAUGACAUCUCCAAGCAAUGGAAUUUUAAUGCUGUUUUGUUUUCUUUCAAUAUACAUGUAUAUGGUUCAAUCUGAAAUAAGCCUAGUAAUCAACCACAUAAAUGGUGGCAUACAGUUCCCUAAAAGUUCAAAACAUAUGUGAUAUUUCUAAACAGAUCUUCUAGUUAACGGAUUGACAUCAGUACUGUUUUGCUUUUAAAUAAAAAGUGAUAUUCGAGAAAAAAUUAACAAUAUUGCGGACUAAGAUUAUUUACAUACAUGUACGUUUUGAAACGUAUUUCAUCGGAAACGGAAUAGUCUAAGGAUGUGGGUAUUUUGUGUGGUCAAAUUCAGAAUUCAUUUGUAUAAGAAGUAUAUCUCCUAUUGGGCUUUAAGUAUAUUACUCCAUAUGGAUAUAUCCUCAUCAUGUUACUAAAAAUCUAUGCAGAUAUGUGUAGCUCUUUUAACAUACUAAUUUUCGCAAAUUGAUAAGUCGAUUAUUACCUAAAGAGGCACGGUCUGUCUAUUUUACAAUUGCUAGCUAAGAGGACAUUGCUUAUAUAGUUUUGAUUCCCAUGAUAAUCUUUCAUUUUAUUUAUAAAAUGUUGAUAAAAUAUUACAACAAAUCACUUAAAAAACUUU